CUCCACUGGAGUUUAUUACGCAAGUCCAGGAUUGGGUCAACAAGCAAACUGUGGGGUGACAAGGAUUGAGGGGGUGUCACCAGUGGAGAAGCUGAGGGCAGUAGUCAGAAAUCUGUAAUUGCCAAUGGAUCAAGGAUAGUACUGUUGGAAGAUACCAACAUCCUUCAGCAUAAGAAUGCUUAAUAGGCUAACCUGUAUCACAGCUGAAACUUUGUGAAAUUUGAUUAUAGGGUAUUCAGUCUCCUAUGUCCAGUGAAGAAGUGUUUAAUAGCUGGAAGGCUAGCAGAAUUCAGUUAAUUUUUGUCUGUGUUAAGCUACAGUUUCAUUAAAACUGUGCCAGGACUUUUGGAGUUUUAUAUAUGUUAAUGUGGAAUAAAAGUGUUACUGUUGUGCUUCAAAAGCCAAAUUUUUAUUCAGCAGCAGUGCACUUGUAAGUGCUACACAUUAAUGGUUAGUUUUUAGAAGCCUGCUACAAAAAUUUAUGUCUCAAAGGAAUUUUGCUUUUGUUUUUCAGUCUUGAAAAUUGAUAAGAGGCAGUAGUCCUGAGGCCUGGGGUUUAUGCUCUGGCAGAGUAUGUCAUCAAUCCUUCUCAAAAUGGCUGGAGAAGGCUUAUGAACGUUUCCUAUGCCUGGGUUUCUAAAAUUGCUUCUAUAGUUUGCCAGCAGUGAAAGAAAUGAAUCAGACAACUGAGAAUAUUUUAUACCUUCUUGCCUUUGAGAAAAGUCUUAAUGUGAUUAGGAUAACUAGAAUCACUUGAGUGUUAUGAGCAAUCUGAAUACAAGAAGCAUUUAAGGUGUUUGUUUUCUUAUUAAAUUCAUUCAUUUUCCCAAAUGUUAAGAUAAGGAAGGAUUAGACAACUGUAUCUUUGUAAGUAAUGUUUUUAAUAAAAACUUCCUGGUCUGGUUCA